UACGGAGGGUGCAAGCAUUGAUCGGAAUUACUGGGCGUAAAGGGCGCGUAGGCGGUAUGAUAAGUCAGAUGUGAAAUUCCGGGGCUCAACCCCGGAGCAGCAUAUGAAACUAUCAAACUAGAGUUCAGUUAGGGUAAACGGAAUUCCACGUGUAGCGGUGAAAUGCGUAGAUAUGUGGAAGAACACCGGUGGUGAAAACGGUUUACUGGGCUGAGACUGACGCUGAGGCGCGAAAGCAUGGGGAGCAAACAGG
rnacentral:rRNA from 1 species